GUUUGAUCCUGGCUCAGGACGAACGCUGGCGGCGUGGAUAAGGCAUGCAAGUCGAACGCGAACGGAGCAACUAAUUCGUUAGAAGCUCCUAGUAGAGUGGCGAACGGGUGAGUAACGCGUGGAUAACGUGCCUCUCAGUGGGGAAUAACACAGGGAAACUUGUGCUAAUACCGCAUACGUCCUUCCGGCCCAGUCGGAAUGAUGAAAGGUGGGGACCUUCGGGCCUGCCGCUGAGAGAUCGGUCCGCGUCCCAUUAGCUGGUUGGUGGGGUAAUGGCCUACCAAGGCUGUGAUGGGUAGCCGGCCUGAGAGGGUGACCGGCCACACUGGGAUUGAGAUACGGCCCAGACUCCUUCGGGAGGCAGCAGUCGAGAAUCUUCCACAAUGGACGAAAGUCUGAUGGAGCGACGCCGCGUGAGUGAUGAAGGCCCUACGGGUUGUAAAACUCUGUCAGGAGAGAAGAAUCGCCGGGGUGCCAAUACCACCCUGGUCUGACGUUAUCUCCAGAGGAAGCUCCGGCUAACUCCGUGCCUGCAGCCGCGGUAAUACGGGGGGAGCAAGCGUUGUCCGGAAUUAUUGGGCGUAAAGAGCGUGUAGGCGGCCUGGUCAGUCGAAUGUGAAAUCCCACGGCUCAACCGUGGAACUGCGUUCGAUACUGCCUGGCUUGAGUAUGUGAGAGGUGUGCGGAAUUCCUGGUGUAGCGGUGGAAUGCGUAGAUAUCAGGAAGAACACCGAUGGCGAAGGCAGCACACUGGCGCAAUACUGACGCUGAGGCGCGAAANCGUGGGGAGCANACAGGAUUAGAUACCCUGGUAGUCCACGCUGUAAACGAUGGGUACUGGGUUUCGGGGGUCUCAACCCUCUCNGNNNCNUAGCUAACGCGUUAAGUACCCCNCCUGGGGAGUACGGUCNCAAGGCNNAAACUNAAAGGAAUUGACGGGUUCCNNCNNAACCNGUGGAACAUGUGCUUUAAUUNNA
rnacentral:rRNA from 1 species